rnacentral:sRNA from 1 species
AACGGAAGCAAAAAAAACCUCAUCAUUCUUCAUCUCCUCUCUUCUCUUCUC